AUUGAACGCUGGCGGCAUGCCUUACACAUGCAAGUCGAACGGAAACGCGGGGCAACCUAGCGACGAGUGGCGAACGGGUGAGUAAUGUAUCGGAACGUGCCCAGUCGUGGGGGAUAACGUAGCGAAAGCUACGCUAAUACCGCAUACGAUCUGUGGAUGAAAGCGGGGGACCGUAAGGCCUCGCGCGAUUGGAGCGGCCGAUAUCAGAUUAGGUAGUUGGUGAGGUAAAGGCUCACCAAGCCGACGAUCUGUAGCUGGUCUGAGAGGACGACCAGCCACACUGGGACUGAGACACGGCCCAGACUCCUACGGGAGGCAGCAGUGGGGAAUUUUGGACAAUGGGGGCAACCCUGAUCCAGCCAUUCCGCGUGCAGGAAUAAGGCCCUAUGGGUCGUAAACUGCUUUUGUAUGGGAAAAAAUCAUCCUACGUGUAGGAUGUUGAUGGUACCAUGAGAAUAAGGAUCGGCUAACUUCGUGCCAGCCGCCGCCGUAACAC
rnacentral:rRNA from 1 species